GAUGAACGCUAGCGGCAGGCCUAACACAUGCAAGUCGAGGGAGGAGCUUUCGGGCUUCGACCGGCGUACGGGUGCGUAGCGCGUAUACAAUCUGCCUUUCACAUAGGGAUAGCCCGAAGAAAUUUGGAUUAAUACCUAAUGGUAUAUAGGAGUGGCAUCACAUUUAUAUUAAAGCUGAGGCGGUGAAAGAUGAGUAUGCGUUCUAUUAGCUAGUUGGAGAGGUAACGGCUCCCCAAGGCGACGAUAGAUAGGGGUUCUGAGAGGGAUAUCCCCCACACUGGUACUGAGAUACGGACCAGACUCCUACGGGAGGCAGCAGUGAGGAAUAUUGGACAAUGGUCGGAAGACUGAUCCAGCCAUGCCGCGUGCAGGAAGACGGCCUUAGGGGUUGUAAACUGCUUGUGCAGGGGAAGAAUAAGGACUACGAGUAGUUUGAUGACGGUACUCUGCGAAUAAGCAUCGGCUAACUUCGUG
rnacentral:rRNA from 1 species